rnacentral:misc_RNA from 1 species
AUUUAACAGUGGAAGGACUCCAACUGAGUUCUUUUUCCACAGGCAAGAAUACAUUGAUCAACCAAGUGGUACCUUUUUUGUUGAUGAGAAGGAAAUGAAUAGCAAUCCAGCUCCAUUAAUGCAUAAUCCCUCAACAAAUAAUAAUUGCCUAAGAGACUUUGAUGGUGAACAGUUCCAGAAGAUGCUAAAUAAUUCUGAUGGUAAAUUAUUCCCUAACCAGAUCAGGCCCCCAGAGGCAACAUUAUUUCAUGGAUCUUAUGAACCACCAAGAAUUCCCUCUUCUGUUCAUGAUGUGAAGACUAUGAAAAUAUGUACCACUAUUGACUCUGUAAAAGAGUUCUUCACUGGUCCUUCAAAAUUCGCACAAACUACUCACCACUUCUUGUUCACUAAAAAGACUGAUGUAAACUUAUCUGAUGGAGGUCAAACAUUCAGAGAAUCCAUGAUAUCCACC